rnacentral:lncRNA from 1 species
AAAUAAAUAUUUUGAGAAGAGCCAACACAAGUUCCUAAAAGUCAAGUCGACGAUUUCAAGUCAUAACCCCUUAAAAACUAUAUUUGAGAGACAAAUUAAAAGGACUCAACUUAAAGGAACACAACUUUAAAUGUUACAAAUUAGAUCUCCAUGGAGUUGUAGGACACUUUGGAGAUGCUAAACAAUCUCAUCACAAUAAAUGAUACUCAACUUAACAAUACACAACUCAAAAGUGUCCUACAAACAUUAGAGAUCAUCACUCUAAUACUUAUCUUAAUUAUAAGCAGCCUCUAAAUCCCCUUAAGAAAGAGAUUUUUGCCACACACAUCCCCAAGCAAUUUUGUAAGAAUGUAACCAAACCCAGGUGAAGUACUAUUACAUGAAUCAAACAUUCAAACAUUAUAUCGACAUUAAUGAAACAAUUGAUUCUCCUUUCUCAAGGCAUCAAUUUGCAAUCGCCACUCCAAAACAUACUAACCAACAUUGUAUCGACAAUAAAGAAAUAAUUGAUUCUCCUUUCUCAAGGCAUCAAUUUGCCGGGACAUUAAUAAACGGAUUGAAUGUCAAAUAAGGCUUCAAAGUACGUCUAUCCGCGUACUGGUUGGUACCUAUCGGUGAUCGGACGCCAAUAAGAGGCUCAGAAUACAUUGCUCAGAAGCCAAGCGUAACAAAGGCACUUCAUCGAAGACCCAAUUUGGUUGAAAGGAUCUUCUUACGUGUUAGCAGCUCAUCAUAGCAAUGUUUUCUCGGUGUUGACGAAAACCACACAGGCGAACGCUAAAUAAGCAGGUUUAGAAUCGAUACUGCUUAGUCUUUUGAAACACAUGGCUGUUUCAUACGGCCAAAAAGGAAAACUCGAAUGCAUUAUAGAAAAUGAAGCGCCAAUCAUGCAUAUCUCCACAAAUUGCUACAAGAAAUAUCAAUUGUUUGGCGAGCUAAUCUACAUCAUGUAAUGAAUGAUACCUAGAACUCAGUGAACGCUUGCCUGCUUCUAGUCCCAGAAUCAAAAGACAGAGACACUGAAUGCUUAGAAUCAAGGGAAAGGGAACCCGAAAUCGUUGCCAGAGACGGAAAAAAAGGACAAGAACGAAUGACUUGCAUAAUCGGGGAUCAAGCGAUUUUUAACACAAAUCAAUUUUGUAUCGAAGCAAAGAGUAAAAUCCUGGAGAAACCGAAACAAUCAGCGAAAAUCCAACUGCGCAAUAUCACAAGUGCACAAACUUUGACCGACAAGAGGUCUCCUCACUACAACCAAGGACCACGGGUCUCCGGCUGAAAUCAUUCGCGAAGCCCCUAGAAACAGUGGAACAAAGGCAACGACGAAGGAUUCGGCGAAAGAAAGGGGAGAGGAAACGAGGAGGUAAGGUCGCCUCCGCAAGCGAAUGGGAGGACGCGAACGAAUCGGAAGCUCGGACCACCACCGCUUAUAUAGCGCUGGAGGUCCGAAAACCCUAAAGCGUUCGGCCGAUCGCCUCCUCGUGUUAUGACCUAAGUGCCCCUGGUGGCCGAUUUGUUCGUUCCUUAUGUUAAGACGAAAGUACCCUUGAGCGUCCAAGAACCAACGGUUUCAGAUCCGUAUGUUAUGACGAAAGUACCCUCGAUCUUCCAAGAACCAACGGUUUUAGAUCCAUGGGCUAAAUAAAUAGCAAAUGCAAUAGAGACGCAUGUAAUGACGGAAGUGCCCCCGUAGGACCCAAGAAUUCCAAUCGACUCCAACGUAUUUGGAGCCUUCUGAUGCCUCGAGCAGAGUGAAAGGGAAGCCUUCAUCCAAAGCUUUGGGGCCGGAUUUGAAGUGAGAAAAAAUUGUGACAAAUACACAGCUGAAACUUAUACAGAUUAAUUUUAAUUUUCGUGCAUUAAUGGCUCCUCACAAGUAUGUGCUUUCGCUGGACCGACAGCAGAAAGCGCCUCAAAGAACGGGAGGAGGUCGCUAACAAGUCUCUCGUGAAUUCAUAUGACCACGGAAAGUCUCGCCAGCUCCCAAAGCAAUAUGAAGAACAAGAAGAAAAAGACGCAUAUCGCAUAGAGAAGGAAUGCCACAAAGCGUCUCUUCCUUGUGCUGUAGGCGAUGAUAGGGCAUGUAAGCGAGUUGGGAACAAAACUGAAAAGGACAAGUAGUUCAGGAAAAAGGAAACGAAACUAAGAUUUAGAGAUGAUAAAAAAAAAAAAAUCCACAGUAUUAAUCGAGGUACUAACAUUGAGAACUAGUCAUACCACUCCUCUCAAAGAAUCCAGUUUUUGAUGAAAUAAGAGACUGAAUUCAAAACCAUAAAAGAACAUAGGAAAAGCUUAUCGAAAUUUUUUGAUGAACAGGACAAAGAUUUAGCUUCUCAAAAUUUUUCGAUGAACAUGACAAAGCUCCUCGAAACCAUUAAGAUUUUCAAUGCUACAUCAAAACUCGAAGCAUUAUAUCUUCGUCUUGGAUGUCUACAUCAUAUACAGUCAUCAUAUCAACCUCGGACGGACUGAAUAUGUUUCGACCUGGCUACAGACACAGCUCAACAAUUCUCCCUUUCCCCAAUGAACUGCAAUGAGAUAAAAGAUAUGGACAACAUUAUGCAUCAAACAAGCAGUAGAAAUUUACAGUGUCAGUGACCGAGAAAUGCCAAGUAGGUAGAAAGCACACACUCAUGACCGAGUCAUGCUUUGAGAAAAGUCAUUGUUCCAAUACACUUGAUGUUAGCUAUUGCUUGUCAAUCGUGUUGACGAGCUCAAUGCUUCAGUGAUCCUACUGAAGACGAGUCUAAGUGGAACACAUGCAACGGCAGGUCCCACCAUCUUUUCAACCACUGGCUUUCUCUCUUCUCCCUUUUCUUUCUGAUCAACAUUAAUUGAUGACAGCCUUCUGAUCUUUCUGGGAGACAACCUUGGUUUCCUGUUUUUCGAAUAUUUCCUUUUCAAUGAAGUAACAUUUGUAACUUCACAGUUUAUCCCAACAACAUUGAGAUACAUCUGGGCCGACUUCCUUUUAGGUAGCGAUUUCCCAAUACUAUUUCCCCCAUCCUUCAGUGACUGAUCAAUAUGCCUGGUAGUUAACAGAGUAUCGACUAAGCCAUCUUCCACAACCUCUAUAGGAACGGGGUGACCGACAAUUUCUUUACUAUUUGAUUUACUCAUGAGAGAUAUUAGAGGUACAUGAGGUCCACGAUAGCUUGAUUGUACAGUCACUUCAACAUCGUAUAGACAAGAACCCACACCUGUAAAUUUCAGUUGCUUCGACACCUGAUACUUAGAGCUAGUUGAUAGAGAAACCUGGCCAUGAGGAAACAAUCGUUGAAUCAGCAGAGCGGAGAUAGGCACAUGUCUCUUGGAUGAUCUAUCUUGAUCUCUUGCAUGUGCAGGCUGAAUUUUUACAAGUUCUGACAGGGAAUGUCCAUGUUCAUCAGAAAGGUGAAGAUCAGAACUCUGAUUUGGGGGAACGUCAUGUACCUCUGAGACUGAUUCAUCCUUCACCAACUGACCACCAUGAGAAUUGGAGGUCACGGAUUCACCAAAACAACUGCCAUCAAUUUUACAACCUGCAAAAUACCUUUCCUCCUGUAUUUUACCCUUCAAGGAACUGUCAGGAACAGCCCCAUUCAUAAAGUUUUCUGAACUUGUAUUUUUGCUAAACCUUGAAUUGUUCAGGUUCUUUUUAUGGUUUAAAUGCCGUUCCAAGGACCUUUUUUCUGUUUCCCCUUUGAUGUUCUUAAACCGACCCUCCGAGCCAGUGAAGCUACUCUCACCAAGUCCUUCUGUGAAGUGUGAUUCAAGUUCAUCCUGGUGGCAACCAUUAUGUUGCUUUUCUGCUACAUCAGGGUGAAGAUCUCUAGUUGGAAAGUGUUCAAACAUGAUUGAAAAAUCUGGAACAUCAUAUUACAAACAAGUUAGUCAUUUUUACAAUCAAGAUUAUUGCAUUAACAUGGAAGACAAAAAGUGCACAUUCUCUGCAUUCUAAAUUGUAAUUAUGUACAUAACACCAACAUCAUAGUAACAGAAGAAUAACAUCUAGUUAUUUCAGUGCUGAUAAUUUUAUUUGGCACAGUUUAUAGUCUCACACAUAUGGUUGCCUUAAACUUAUGUUUCUUUAAAACAACUAAGCACCUUUAUAGAUCAAAACUAACUAACGAAUAAACAAGUGAGAGAAAAGAAGUUGGAAAGCAACAAAGUGACAUGAAAAGAUUACAGAACGAAAAAAUAGUCAGCAAAAAAUCCUGACAUAUUAUCAAGUUCCCAAAAAGAUAUAUGAUUAAUAUAUCAGUAGUAAGAAUCUGCAUUAACAAGAUUAAUUAAACAUGAAUUUACCAGCAAACAAGGGUAAAUGCUGAGUCUUUGGUAUCAUCAGGUAAAGACAUUCAAGUCAACUCCUAAUAAAAGAAAUUUUAAGGGUAAUGUGGGUGUGCAAAAUACAGACACCAUAACAUUGUUUGGUGAAAGAAGCAAGCUUACAUAAGCAUAAUUUGAAAUAUGUAAUUUCCUCAAAGAAUGACAAAAUGUUCUACAUGUAUAUCUCCUCACAAACUCAUGCAAAGUUGGUAGUCACUACAGUAGAAAUUGUACUUACGACAGUGUGCAUAAUAUCCUACUGGUGCAUGCUGCAGCAUGCCUGUGCAUAAUUGAUGUAGAUCGAGAGGUCAUGAAUCGGUCUAGGUUAAGAUGGGCCAUAUUACUUUUUCUGUUUUUAAAUAUUUAAGAAAAUUCUCAUUGCUUCUUUAUAUUUUGGAAAUAAAUAUCAAUGAGUUUGAGUCCCAAAAAACCAAGGACUCAAACUCACAAGCUAUACUGCCAUCUUUAUAUUUUGGAAAUAAAUAUCAAUGCUUUUACGUCAGAAAAAUAAACAAUGAAUAAGCCAUGGUCAUUAGUUUCUUACAACAAGGGGGGGGGAAAGACAAAUUUUUGGAGCUUGAUUGUUGAUAGAAAGGUCCUAUGAUCGAAUCUCAUCUUUGACGCUUACCAAAGUGAAAAUAAAAAGAGCUUAAGGGAUAAUAGUAACAAUAUUCUUAACCUACUAGCUUAACAACACGAAAAAUUCAAGAUGUAUAUGAACACUUAAACAGUAGUAGAAGUCAAGACUUGCAAUCAAGGUAAGAUAAGCUGAACUGCAACACGGAUAUGAUAAACAGAAAUGCACUCUCUACAACCAUAGGUAAUACUUGUUUACAAGGAACGCAGUCUCAUACCGACUGGCCAUAUCAGUCCUAGUCGAACAGGUACAUACAUACCCACUGAUAUAAGUGUAUGGCACAUGGUACACGAGUAUGUACCAAUGAAAUAGAUGGCAGCGGAGAAGAAAGGAGGAAGGAGGAAGAGGAAGUAAGAAAAGAGGCAGUGAAGAAAGAGGAGGAAGAAGAAAAAGAAGGAAGAGGAAAGAAGAAGAGGUGGCCGUGGAGGAAGGAGGAAGGGGGAAGAGGAAAAGGAUACAAGAAGGAUGGAGGAAGAAGAGGAGGAAGAGAAGGAAACAUAUCUGAAACGACAGCAGGCAAUGGGCGGCGGGCAGUGAGAGGUGAUAGCAAUGACUCGGAUGAGUGUCGGGGAAGAGAGCUAACGAAUGCAAGCCCAAACUUGUUUUUUUUUUUAUUGGUUGGAACAGACUGCCUGAAACGCGAUAGUCCAUGUACCAUUCUAUGUCCAAACCGGUAUGCUUUACUUAUCUGAGCAAAACAGCAUUCCUCGGUUGUGUACAUAUAAUCCUCUCCAACCUUCCAUUGGCACAAAAAAUCAUGUACCAAGCUAUAGUUAGUAAUAAAUUAAGUAGACGAUAAGAAAGAGAUGACACUCAUCCAAGAAUAUGACUGCAAGAAUCUAGAAUUCAUCAAAAAAGGAAAAAAAAUUAUAAUAGAAACAAACCCUCAAAUGUAAUAAUCCAGGUGAAAAAAAUUUCUGGAUAAGUACCUAUGAUGACCAAGUAUGCAGCAUAAGGACACAUCUUAAACUAAAACUGGGUUUAAGCUACAAGAAGCAUAAAAAUCCUUAUAGUAUGUCAAUACCAAUAUCCCACUCUACAGUGGGCAGCUGCAAAAUCCAAGUUCGUUGACAAGGUAACAUUGACAGAUUAUCUGGUAUAACAAUGGCAUCCAAGUCAUGUAACUUAGUAAUGCCAAUUUAUGAUCAGAAUGGCAUAAUAAAUGGCACAUGAAUGCACUGAAAAUGCCUAACAUUAGUUUACCAUGCUGAAGCAACAAGAUGUGUCAUCUCAUGCAAUUUAACUUUAAAUGUCAGGAUCUUCAUUGUUAUUCAAAUUUAGAAAUAGAAGAAAAUUAUAAGAAGAUCAAUUUUUAACACAAACAAAGGAGGAAAUUUGUAAGCAUACCUUCCCUGAUAUUGUCUGCCAUUAUCAGGGGAAUAUCAAUGAGGCCAUCGGAGCAGUCAUUGUCAAUAAACUCCAACAUGCUCGCAAGCUCCGAGUCCUUUACUUCAGAAUCAAAAUUUGCAUCAUCAAUUUCACGAGUGUUCUCACAAGCAUUCAACAAUGCCUCACUUGAAGUUCCUGAACAGUGUGGGCUGACGGUGAUGUCACAUGAAAUAUCUGUCCUCCUUGAAUUAGAUAGCAAUUCAUUCAACUUAUUUGGAGAAGCCCCUUGAAGAGAUGGUUGCCCUCCAAAAGCACCAUCCCAGUGACAAUAUGAUGGAACUAUAACUUUAGUACCCUCGCAAACUUUACUAAGUGCUAGUCGACGAUCUUUUCUUCUCACAUUCUCAUGAGAUUGGGCCACAUGUGAUCUCUUCCUUUUCAGGGAUGAAAAAGAAUCUUUGCUGCUCUUUAUUGAACUCAAACUAGAAAAUCCAUCAUAAAUGUCUGACUUGCUAAGUGAAGCAUUGUCAGGAAGGCCUAGCUCAGUGGACCAUCCUGUGCUAGCAUGCACAUUAGGCUUUCUAUUGGAUACAACCCCCAAACCUAUUUCCUGAAGAUCUCUCAUUCGUUUUAUUCCUUCGUUAUCUUCUGAAUCAUUUGGAGUUUUCCUUCUUUUUUUUUCUGAUUGCUUAAUAUCAGGAGAAAUCAGAUCGUUUGUUUGUUCAUAUGACACUAAAGAUUGAGAUACCUCUUGAGCCGAAUUCUCCUCAAGAACAUCGAGUUUCCUGGCCACAUGACCUAAUUGUUUGUCAAGCCCAUAUACCUUUCUUGACUUCAUGGGAAAAUCAUAACCCAUUGUUCUGAAAGGGUCCUUCACUCCUGAGCCAUUCUGCUUCCCAGUAAGGAAGUAAGCCUUUUCAAUCUCCAGGGCAUGGAGAAUGGCAUCUUCUCUGCGAAUGUACUUCCCUGUACUGGUUGAACUUUUCUUUGAACGGAUUGCAAAAGCCAUGGCCUUCUGAAUGCACUCAUCAAACUCCCCACAACGAAAUGCUUUGACACGAGUUGAUUUUGCAAGAUUAUACCAGUCCCUGAUUGCAAGUUGAUUAUUAGCAAACUUAAGCUUAUACUGACUGCAUGGUACUUAAACCAUGAAAUAGAAAGGUGAACAGAUAUAGCAUAUGUGCAUAUAGCUACUUUGCUCAGAUUUUGUAACCGCAUAAUUCAAGAUACAGAAAAUCAUGCACCAAACAUAAAUAAACGAAAGAAGGCACAAUCAGUAUCAUUGUUGUUGCCAUGUUCCUUGUUAUUUUCCAAGAUGUCACUGAGCAACUUAGGUUGGCCUUGAUGCACAACUGUUAAGUCAAUAAGGCUCCAUGGAAGGUUUGAGUUGCCUUUUUUUUAUAGCUCUCUGUCUAAAGUUGACUAAAAAAUUACCAUCAAAUCCCAGCCAAAAUAGAAGUAGUGGCAGCAAAUGAACUCAUUUUACAUCCCUUGUCUUUAAAGCCAGCUGAAACAAUGGUGUGAGGUAGAAUUAAAAAAAAAAAAGACAAUGAUCCAUAUGGUUCAUGUUAACAGAAUCGGCUACUAAUAAGUGUUCAGUGUUAAAUCUUAUCAUCUGAUCUUCAGUGGAUAUGAGAAUAGAAAAAAAA